AGCGAACGUUGGUGGCAUGCUUAACACAUGCAAGUCAAGGAGAAAGUUCCUUCGGGAACAAGUAAACUGGCGCACGGGUGAGUAACGCGUGGAUAAUCUACCUUGGGGACUGGGAUAACUUACCGAAAGGUGGGCUAAUACCGGAUAAUAUAGCCUCUUUAAGAGGCUAUCAAAGCUGGGGAUCUUCGGACCUAGCACCACAAGAGGAGUCUGCGUCCAAUUAGCUAGUAGGUAGGGUAAUGGCUUACCUAGGCGACGAUUGGUAGCUGGUCUGAGAGGAUGAUCAGUCACACUGGCACUGAAACACGGGCCAGACUCCUACGGGAGGCAGCAGUGAGGAAUAUUGCGCAAUGGACGAAAGUCUGACGCAGCAAUGCCAUGUGGAGGAUGAAGGCUUUCGAGUCGUAAACUCCUGUCAAGAGAAAAGAACCGUCGGUGGGCGAAUAGGCCACCGGCCUGACGGUAUCUCUAAAGGAAGUGCCGGCUAACUCCGUGCCA
rnacentral:rRNA from 1 species